AUGGAAUCAAGUUCUACUGGUCUUCUAACCAUGUUCUCCUAACACCAGGAAAUGCAGAGGGCUUGCUUCUCCCAAAAUACUUUCUAAAAGUCCUGCAGCUCAGACCUCAAAGGCAACUUCUUCCCCUCAAAUGAUAUAUGACGAAAUGCACUUUCUAAAAAUCAGUCGGCAGAGUGAAUGCAUUAAACCAGGUGUUAUUUAAUUUGAUAAAAAGCCAAAAUAAUAAAAAAAA